rnacentral:misc_RNA from 1 species
UACGGGGGGAGCGAGCGUUGUUCGGAAUCACUGGGCGUAAAGCGUGCGCAGGCGGAUUGACAAGUCAGAAGUGAAAUCCCAGGGCUCAACCCUGGAACUGCUUUUGAAACUGUCUUUCUAGAGUAUGGUAGAGGUUGGGAGAAUUCCUAGUGUAGAGGUGAAAUUCGUAGAUAUUAGGAGGAAUACCAGUGGCGUAGGCGCCCAACUGGACCAUUACUGACGCUCAGGCACGAAAGCGUGGGGAGCAAACAGG